GCCGGAGUGGCGGAAUGGUAGACGCAGCGGAUUCAAAAUCCGCCGCCCUUAAAAGCGUGGGGGUUCGAGUCCCCCCUCCGGUACCA
rnacentral:tRNA from 1 species